rnacentral:rRNA from 1 species
UACGAGGGGGGCAAGCGUUGUUCGGAAUUAUUGGGCGUAAAGGGCGCGUAGGCGGUGCGGUAAGUCACCUGUGAAAACUCUGGGCUCAACUCAGAGCCUGCAGGCGAAACUGCCGUGCUUGAGUGUGGGAGAGGUGCGUGGAAUUCCCGGUGGUAGCGGUGAAAUGCGUAGAUAUCAGGAGGAACACCGGUGGCGAAGGCGGGUCUCUGGGCCGUAACUGACGCUGAGGAGCGAAAGCGUGGGGAGCGAACAGG